UCAGAAUUGAAAAAAAACAUUGCAGAUAUGCAUGCAGAUGUGACGGGAAAUUGUUGAAUCACCAUCCUUGAGUUAUCAGAGGAUGUGCAGAUUAGUUACAGUUCAGUUCAUUAUCACUGAAGAUUUGGGUAUGAGAUGCAUAUCUGCCAAGUUUGUGCCAAAACUGCUUUCAGCUGACCAAAAAGACAC